CACUCCUGCUUUGGGAGAGAGAGAAACUAGGUGCUAAGUAUAAUUUCUUAUCUUUUCAUUAUUCUAGGUUGUGGCCAGCACCAGGCAACAGAAGCGCUGUGGAGUGUGUGGACCCAAAAAGGACAGAAAAACACAAUGUACAUGCAUCAAGUGCAAGACAUGAUAAAAUGUAAUCUAACAAAGUACAUCACUCCUGGACCCACUGCAGGAAUGACCCUCCAGCUGCUGCAUCCAUGUGUUCACUGCUGUCCAUGGACGCACAGAAUGGACAUGUCAGAGCUUCAUCAGCACUGGAAGAGGGAGGAAGUGUUGUGCUCCAGUCAAGUGGCGGUCUGAAGUGUCCAGGAAGGUCUUGGGGUGUCCACAGGUAGACACGUCAGGACAGCUCCUCCAGCAGCCGACGCAGCUUCAGUGAACAAGAAACCCUUCAUCCCUAAUCUAUCAUAAAAGUGAUGGAUUAGCUACUUUUUAAAAACUAUAGCCUA